rnacentral:tRNA from 10 species
GCGCUACGGACUUAAAAUCCGUUGGCUUUAUUGACCGUGAGGGUUCAAGUCCCUCUACCCCCA